GCCUUUGUGGUGUAAUGGUCAGCACACUCGAUGCAUAUCCAGUGGUCCGAGGUUCGAGUCCCGGCGAGGGUA
rnacentral:tRNA from 1 species